ACUCAGGUGUUGUUGGGUAGGGGAGCGUUCUGUAAGCCUGUGAAGGUGGCCUGUGAGGGUUGCUGGAGGUAUCAGAAGUGCGAAUGCUGACAUAAGUAACGAUAAAGCGGGUGAAAAGCCCGCUCGCCGGAAGACCAAGGGUUCCUGUCCAACGUUAAUCGGGGCAGGGUGAGUCGACCCCUAAGGCGAGGCCGAAAGGCGUAGUCGAUGGGAAACGGGUUAAUAUUCCCGUACUUGGUGUUACUGCGAAGGGGGGACGGAGAAGGCUAUGUUGGCCGGGCGACGGUUGUCCCGGUUUAAGCGUGUAGGUGUGUGUUCCAGGUAAAUCCGGUUCACUUUAACACUGAGGCGUGAUGACGAGGCACUACGGUGCUGAAGCAACAAAUGCCCUGCUUCCAGGAAAAGCCUCUAAGCAUCAGGUAACAUCAAAUCGUACCCCAAACCGACACAGGUGGUCAGGUAGAGAAUACCAAGGCGCUUGAGAGAACUCGGGUGAAGGAACUAGGCAAAAUGGUGCCGUAACUUCGGGAGAAGGCACGCUGACACGUAGGUGAAGUGAUUUACUCAUGGAGCUGAAGUCAGUCGAAGAUACCAGCUGGCUGCAACUGUUUAUUAAAAACACAGCACUGUGCAAACACGAAAGUGGACGUAUACGGUGUGACGCCUGCCCGGUGCCGGAAGGUUAAUUGAUGGGGUCAGCGCAAGCGAAGCUCCUGAUCGAAGCCCCGGUAAACGGCGGCCGUAACUAUAACGGUCCUAAGGUAGCGAAAUUCCUUGUCGGGUAAGUUCCGACCUGCACGAAUGGCGUAAUGAUGGCCAGGCUGUCUCCACCCGAGACUCAGUGAAAUUGAACUCGCUGUGAAGAUGCAGUGUACCCGCGGCAAGACGGAAAGACCCCGUGAACCUUUACUAUAGCUUGACACUGAACAUUGAGCCUUGAUGUGUAGGAUAGGUGGGAGGCUUUGAAGCGUGGACGCCAGUCUGCGUGGAGCCGACCUUGAAAUACCACCCUUUAAUGUUUGAUGUUCUAACGUGGACCCGUGAUCCGGGUUGCGGACAGUGUCUGGUGGGUAGUUUGACUGGGGCGGUCUCCUCCUAAAGAGUAACGGAGGAGCACGAAGGUUGGCUAAUCCUGGUCGGACAUCAGGAGGUUAGUGCAAUGGCAUAAGCCAGCUUGACUGCGAGCGUGACGGCGCGAGCAGGUGCGAAAGCAGGUCAUAGUGAUCCGGUGGUUCUGAAUGGAAGGGCCAUCGCUCAACGGAUAAAAGGUACUCCGGGGAUAACAGGCUGAUACCGCCCAAGAGUUCAUAUCGACGGCGGUGUUUGGCACCUCGAUGUCGGCUCAUCACAUCCUGGGGCUGAAGUAGGUCCCAAGGGUAUGGCUGUUCGCCAUUUAAAGUGGUACGCGAGCUGGGUUUAGAACGUCGUGAGACAGUUCGGUCCCUAUCUGCCGUGGGCGCUGGAGAACUGAGGGGGGCUGCUCCUAGUACGAGAGGACCGGAGUGGACGCAUCACUGGUGUUCGGGUUGUCAUGCCAAUGGCACUGCCCGGUAGCUAAAUGCGGAAGAGAUAAGUGCUGAAAGCAUCUAAGCACGAAACUUGCCCCGAG
rnacentral:rRNA from 1 species